ACCCCCCCCCCCCCGUAAAGCCCCGGGAACUUUGAAACUCCCCUUCCCGUUUUCUUGGCAGGUGCUCACUUAUCUGGCCAGUGAGGAUGCCUGCCCCAUGGAGAAAACGAUCCCCUGCUUGGAGCAAUGCUGAGCUCCUGGAGCUGAUCAGUGUUUGGGGAGAGGAGGCUGUGCAGGGACCCAGGAUGCCCCGUGAUCACGCCCCCUUCCCACAAGACCUGUCGUCCAAAUGCAGAGCGCUGCACAGUGGGAUAGCUGCCCUCAGUGCGCUGCUCUCAUCCGCGACGGAAGUGCUGCAAAUGUGAACACUCUCUGACGCCUGUGGAAGCAAACGGCAGUUUCUUUGGUUUCCGAAUACAUCAGGAUGAAAGGGAGAUAACUGGCAAAUCAAACUUUGAUCAGGCUUUAAAAUCAGGCUCUUCCCCCUGGGGAGAUCAGAGAGCUGCAGGAGAGCUGCCAAAGGCACGAGGACCUCAUUCAGCUGGCAGUGGAGGGCUCAGCAGCAGCCACUGACCUCUGCAGACAGUCACGUCCCGUUUCCUGGGAAGGAGGAGAAGGGUCUUGUGAUUAGGAGAGUCGGGGUGAUCGGGGCUCAGGUCACAGCUCUGCCAGACUCCUCGGGUGACCCUGCAGCGGUAAGUGAAUCUCUCUGUGCCCAGGUUUGUCUGUGUGUGAAACAGGGAUGGUCCCGUUUCCUCCCCUUGUGGGGGCGCUGAGAGGAUGAAACCGUUGUU